rnacentral:rRNA from 1 species
GACGAACGCUGGCGGCGUGCUUAACACAUGCAAGUCGAACGGAAAGGCCCUGCUUUUGUGGGGUGCUCGAGUGGCGAACGGGUGAGUAACACGUGAGUAACCUGCCCUUGACUUUGGGAUAACUUCAGGAAACUGGGGCUAAUACCGGAUAGGAGCUCCUGCUGCAUGGUGGGGGUUGGAAAGUUUCGGCGGUUGGGGAUGGACUCGCGGCUUAUCAGCUGGUUGGUGGGGUAGUGGCUUACCAAGGCUUUGACGGGUAGCCGGCCUGAGAGGGUGACCGGCACAUUGGGACUGAGAUACGGACCAGACUCCUACGGGAGGCAGCAGUGGGGAAUAUUGCACAAUGGGCGGAAGCCUGAUGCAGCAACGCCGCGUGCGGGAUGACGGCCUUCGGGUUGUAAACCGCUUUCGCCUGUGACGAAGCGUGAGUGACGGUAAUGGGUAAAGAAGCACCGGCUAACUACGUG